CAACUAAUUGUAACUUUAAGCUGUUUUAUUAUUGGGCAAAUCUCCAAAAUAUCACAUUUUUAAUUUUAUGUCACAAAAAUAGUCUUCAAAAACUAAAAUGAUCAGAAUAGCAUUUUAUAUUUUGAAAAAACUAAUUUUUUUUAUUUUUCAAAAUUUAAAAUCUUAUUCCAAAACCCCACUCCCCAACUCUAAACCCUAAACCCUAAACCCUAAAUCGUAAACCCUAAACCCUAAAACCUAAACCCCACCCCUUAACUCUAAACCCUAAGCCCUAAACCCCACCCCUAAACUCUAAACCCUAAACUUUAAACCCUAAAUCCUAAACUCUAAAUCCUAAACCCCACCCCA
rnacentral:lncRNA from 1 species